rnacentral:sRNA from 1 species
GGCUGGUAUCAGAACUUAUUAACAUUAGUGUCACUAAAGUUGGUAUACCCCCCCCCCGUUGCUAAAUUUGACUGGCUUUAA